AAGAAUUUGGCGGUGUUUUAGUCUAUUUAGAGGAACCUGUCCUGUAAUCGAUAAUCCACGUUGGACCUUACUAAAAUUUGUUUUCAACUUGUAUAUCGCCGUUAUCAGAAUAUCUUAAAAGAGGAAUAAUUUUCUAAAUUUAAUAAUAUAAAUGAUGUCAGGUCAAGGUGCAGUUUAUAUUUUAGUAGAGAUGGGUUACAAUAAAUAUAUUUAUACGUUAAAUUGUUUGCAAUAAUGUUUUAAGGUGGAUUUAAAAGU
rnacentral:rRNA from 1 species